UUGCGUGUUGGCGACUCUUGUUCUGCUCCUCAUUCUUCUGGGAAUCAGACUGUCUGUGGUAUGCUAUAUAAAGUAAAGGAGUUUUCAGAGCUACUGGCCAUGUAGUGAAGAUGAACUGGUAGUCUAUUUUUCCUACAGAG